UCGGGAUAGCUCAGCUGGUAGAGCAGAGGACU
rnacentral:tRNA from 10 species